GAUGAACGCUGGCGGCGUACCUAAUACAUGCAAGUCGAGCGAACAGACGAGGAGCUUGCUCCUCUUACGUUAGCGGCGGACGGGUGAGUAACACGUGGAUAACCUAUCUAUAAGACUGGGAUAACUUCGGGAAACCGGAGCUAAUACCGGAUAAUAUAUUGAACCGCAUGGUUCAAUAGUGAAAGACGGUUUUGCUGUCACUAAUAGAUGGAUCCGCGCCGCAUUAGCUAGUUGGUAAGGUAACGGCUUACCAAGGCGACGAUGCGUAGCCGACCUGAGAGGGUGAUCGGCCACACUGGAACUGGGACACGGUCCAGACUCCUACGGGAGGCAGCAGUAGGGAAUCUUCCGCAAUGGGCGAAAGCCUGACGGAGCAACGCCGCGUGAGUGAUGAAGGUCUUCGGAUCGUAAAACUCUGUUAUUAGGGAAGAACAAAUGUGUAAGUAACUAUGCACGUCUUGACGGUACCUAAUCAGAAAGCCACGGCUAACUACGUG
rnacentral:rRNA from 1 species